ensembl:lncRNA
GUGCACGGUGCCCCUUGCGUUCUCUGCAGCCUUGCUUCCAAACACUGUAUGGGGAUGAAGUUUCUCUUUUACAACAGAAAAAGACGUUGGGGAAAAAACGUAGGAUGAAAUGCUGGUAGUUAAGGCGCCAAUUACAGUAGUCUGCAUCUGUGCAACCUGUAGUUAUAUUUCUAGGACACAUAUAUCACUCGAUUAAGGUGCGUCCCCACAGGAUAAGAAUGUAGAAAGUCACUGACAUUCAAUGAGAGCGAGGGAUAACAUUGAUUUAGUUGUGACAGGGAGCAUCUGAAGCCUUGUUAUCACCCAUCAGCUACAAAGCGAUAGACAGUGAGGAAACUGUUUCCUGUGUGGACGACCUAAAAGAUAGCAGAAUUUCACUCACCAAAUCUAAAACCCAGACGCGGUCUUGGAUUAGCAGAGAUUAUUUAAUUCUAUUAAAAAUGCUCCAAAAGCCUCUAGAACAACACAAAGACCUUUAAGAGGUCGAGUUCAGUGAAUACACUUAGUGAAGGUCAAGCCACGCCCUGUACAGUUGAUAUGAAGGAGGGAAAUAUCCACAGUUAGUGCCAACCUGUAAACAUAUUAAUGCUGUGAAAGUGGGUAUUUUAUAAUGGGAGUCUAUGGGGACUUUUUGCCUUUUGGAGGCAGCCUCAAGUGGCCACUUGAGGAACUACAGUUUUUUUCCACUUUAUGUUUUUGGUUCAUUUUUCAGCUCUAAAGGUUGCUGCGUGAUUUUAGCUCAGCUGAAACUCAGCACUGUACUUACUCAGGUCCACAGAAAUUUACCCGCCAAGUUUAAAAACAGUUGAGGACAUGCAGAGAUUUCUUGAAUCAUUAGCUGACUUUAUCCACCAUGUACAGAGGAGUUAAAGAAGGUCAGGAAUGCCAUGGUUUUAUAGAAAAUCAGCCCCAUUUAAAAUCUGAUAAUCUCGACUCUAAGUGUGUGAUUUAAGUUUGAAGGUUGUUGGUGUAUAUCUAUGAUGACUUUGUGUCCGAGCCACCAGCAGUGCUGUGGUUAAGCAGACAAGCUGUAAGAAGUCAGUAAGACGUCUGUGAUGUAACCACAGAUCGACUUUAAAGGCCAGCUCUAACCGUACCAUUAUGUAUGUUUAUGCAUUAAUUCAUUUCCUGAUUUAUCAGUCUGACUGUAGCUUUGGUCUGACCUGUGUCAGGGUUCAUGACCCACCACAUUUCCAGAGCCAUCAUUUGAACACAUGCCCUUAUAGUGGAUAUUGUAUAUUGUGAUUAAACUGAAGUCAGAUGUGUAUAUUUUAAGACUAACUUGCUUCAGGUGUAAUCUAGACAGAGUAUAUUUUCAUUAAGCUGCAAGUUUUUAAAGCUAUAAGGAAGCUGGGGCUGUAUCCAUAUUGCCAUUCACAGUGUGGGUUGAAGGAGUUUGUUUUAUUGCACACUAAUGAAUAUUUGUAGUUAAUGCAGCAGAUGUGAAGCUGUCUAGAAUUCAGAAAUAUUUGUUAACAACCUCAGUUGUUAUUUUUCCACCUCUUUUAACACUGCUGUACUUUAUAAAGUCAGAGCACCUUGAAAGUUUGACAUCUCCAAGUUUCACCUCAGUGUCGCCUCACUUCAGUUAUCCUUACUAAGAAAUGCAAACAUGCUUAUUUUAUUGAUUAUGCAGGAGCGAUGCUACAUUAUUUCCUGGAGCACUACUUGUAACUUUGUUUUUACAACAUUGUGUUUGUUUAUAGUGUUUUAUUUGGUUUCUUAUCUGUUUCUGUUAGCUUCCAGGAAGCUCUGGUUAUAUAUUGUCGACUUCAGUUUGUUUGUAUUGUGAAAGACUAAUGUGUCAUUUUUAUUAUUUAUGGUAAAAUUAAAACUGUUAAGUGCAU